rnacentral:rRNA from 1 species
AUUGAACGCUGGCGGCAUGCCUUACACAUGCAAGUCGAACGGUAACAGGUCUUCGGAUGCUGACGAGUGGCGAACGGGCGAGUAAUACAUCGGAACGUGCCUAGUAGUGGGGGAUAACUACUCGAAAGAGUGGCUAAUACCGCAUGAGAUCUACGGAUGAAAGCAGGGGAUCGCAAGACCUUGUGCUACUAGAGCGGCCGAUGGCAGAUUAGGUAGUUGGUGGGAUAAAAGCUUACCAAGCCGACGAUCUGUAGCUGGUCUGAGAGGACGAUCAGCCACACUGGGACUGAGACACGGCCCAGACUCCUACGGGAGGCAGCAGUGGGGAAUUUUGGACAAUGGGCGCAAGCCUGAUCCAGCAAUGCCGCGUGCAGGAUGAAGGCCUUCGGGUUGUAAACUGCUUUUGUACGGAACGAAAAGCCCUGAGUUAAUACCCUGGGGCCAUGACGGUACCGUAAGAAUAAGCACCGGCUAACUACGUGCCAGCCGCCGCGGUAAAAC